rnacentral:lncRNA from 1 species
AGCAGAAAGCCUUUAGCAGGUCGCACGGUAGGGAGAUUGCAUGUGUGGCAGAAGGAACACGUGAGAAGGUUGCCAUGGUGGACAGCAGAAAAAUUGCAGCCGAUGGCACAGCGGUGGGGAGGAAAACAUAGGAAGCUUGCAAGCGCGUGGCCUGCGAAAGAAGCAUCUGAAGAGAUGGCAUGUCUGGCAGAGGACACAUUGGGCAAGAUUCCACGUUUGGCAGCAGGCCCGUGAGCGGCGACAGACGCGUAUGGGCCUGUGGCAACCUCGGUUCCUGCCUCCUGAGAAGAAAGACAUCGAGUGGCACACGGUAGAGUGAGAGACCGAGGCACGCAUUAGAGCAGGGGCGAAAGUUCCUGAAAUGGUAUCGUGGCAGGAGCCAAAGGAAGUCAAGGAGGCUUGGAAGAGGCCCAGGUGGGCGGUGACCUGAGAGGUGGAGUACAGGACUGGACCUUGGACUCAGGGUCUCCCGCGUCGGCAGCAUCGCUGCCUGUCCUCUGAUGCUUCCCUCGGCGGGGAAGAGGGGGCUGUUCACUAGCACAGUGGCCUGUCACCAUCUCAUGGGGGCGCGGAGGCGCCGUGUGCUUACUGGAGUUGUUCUCAUGCUCUCUUGAGGCGUUCGUCCCACAAGCAGAUGAAUGUGCCCAGGGGAAAACAUCCCAGAUCAGUGAACCUUCCACCAGUUUGCCUCUCAGGGUGCACGUAUGAGCCCAUUCACCCAACUCCCGAGGUGUGCUGGGGAGGCUUCUGAGGUUCGUGACUGCUGUCGGGGAGGGGGACUGCCUUUCCCUGGUGCUGCCUGUGAUCAGUGAUUUCUCUAGAGAGUCUGCUUCGUGACCACCGGGCCAUCACCUUGUGGCUGCCUGAUGUUUACUGGUGGUGGGGAACCCUCUCGGGCCCCGCUCCACACGUGUGACUGAGAGGGACACCUGACAGGAUUGAACGCGUGGCAGAUCAUCCGACGAGAUGGAGUGUCUGGUGGAAGGAACAUCUGACAGCCCUGAGCGUGUGGCAGAGGGAACAUCUAAGCAGACUGCAGCGAUUUCAGAAGGAACGGCUAAGAACAUCGCAUGGUCAGCAGGAGGAAACCUUAGGAAGAGCCAUGUGACGGGAUCCGUGGUUUGGCAGAGGAGACAUGCGAGAAGACGGAACGUUUUGUCCGAAUAGACAUCUGGCAGGGUGGAACGGAGAGAACAGGUAUGGUGGAGAGAACGUCUGAGAAGGUCGCAGGAUUCGCAGGAGCAUCGGGAAAAGAUUGCCUGCUUGCCCGAAGGAAUGGCAAGUUCCAAAGCUGUGCUGUGGGCAGUGUUUAGUUCAUGUCUGCUUUGCUGGCGGGCCGAGUAGCAACAGCUGCAGUUGGUGUGUUCUCUGAAGGCAGUAUCCGAAGGCUGGAGGGGUUGCUUUUCUUCCCAGGUGUCUUUUGAAGAGGCAGUCAAGUCAGCAGCUCGCGGUGACCUUCUGGUAACAUCGUAUGGGCUGGGUUACAGCACAUGCCGACUGCUAAGCCGGUCACUGGGGAAAACCAUGUGA